CUACGGGUGGCUGCAGUGAGGAAUAUUGGUCAAUGGGCGAGGGCCUGAACCAGCCAAGUCGCGUGCAGGAAGACUGCCCUAUGGGUUGUAAACUGCUUUUGUAUGAGAGUAAAGGACAAUACGUGUAUUGUUUUGCAAGUAUCAUACGAAUAAGGAUCGGCUAACUCCGUGCCAGCAGCCGCGGUAAUACGGAGGAUUCGAGCGUUAUCUGGAUUUAUUGGGUUUAAAGGGUGCGUAGGCGGAAGAUUAAGUCAGUGGUGAAAGUUUGCAGCUCAACUGUAAAAUUGCCAUUGAAACUGAUUUUCUUGAGUACAAAUGAGGUAGGCGGAAUGUGUUGUGUAGCGGUGACAUGCAUAGAUAUAACACAGAACACCGAUUGCGAAGGCAGCUUACUGGGAUGUAACUGACGCUGAGGCACGAAAGCGUGGGGAUCAAACAGGAUUAGAUACCCGCGUAGUC
rnacentral:rRNA from 1 species